GCCAGCGUGGUGUAGUGGUUUCAGCACUGGACUACAACUCUGGAGAUCAGGUUUUGAUUCCCUGCCAUGGAA